AUUGAACGCUGGCGGCAGGCCUAACACAUGCAAGUCGAACGGUAACAGGAAGACGCUUGCUUCUUUGCUGACGAGUGGCGGCCGGGUGAGUAAUGUCUGGGAAACUGCCUGAUGGAGGGGGAUAACUACUGGAAACGGUAGCUAAUACCGCAUAACGUCGCAAGACCAAAGAGGGGGACCUUCGGGCCUCUUGCCAUCGGAUGUGCCCAGAUGGGAUUAGCUAGUAGGUGGGGUAACGGCUCACCUAGGCGACGAUCCCUAGCUGGUCUGAGAGGAUGACCAGCCACACUGGAACUGAGACACGGUCCAGACUCCUACGGGAGGCAGCAGUGGGGAAUAUUGCACAAUGGGCGCAAGCCUGAAGCAGCCAUGCCGCGUGUAUGAAGAAGGCCUUCGGGUUGUAAAGUACUUUCAGCGGGGAGGAAGGGAGUAAAGUUAAUACCUUUGCUCAUUGACGUUACCCGCAGAAGAAGCACCGGCUAACUCCGUG
rnacentral:rRNA from 1 species